GAGAAUGUGUUUACCGGGCAGUCCAAGAUCUACACCUACAUGAGCCCGAACAAAUGCUCUGGAAUGCGUUCCCCCCUUCAGGAAGAGAACUCAGUUGCACAUCACGAAGUCAAAUGCCAGGGGAAGCCAUUAGCCGGAAUCUACAGGAAACGGGAAGAGAAAAGAAACACUGGGAACGCAAUACGAAGCACCAUGAAGUCCGAGGAACUAAAGAUCAAAGACGCCAGGAGAGGUCCCCUGGCACCUUUUCCAAACCAAAAACCCGAAGUAGCAGAACCUCCAAAAACUCCGACCUCGUCUUGUGAUUCCUCCGGUGCAGCCAUCGCCAAGCAAGCCCUGAAGAAGCCCGUCAAGGGCAAGCAGGCGCCUCGGAAAAAAGCUCAAGGAAAAACGCAACAGAAUCGCAAACUCACAGAUUUCUACCCUGUGCGAAGGAGCUCCAGGAAGAGCAAGGCCGAGCUGCAGUUUGAAGAAAGGAGAAGACUAGACGAAUUGAUCGAAAGCGGGAAGGAAGAAGGCAUGAAGAUUGACCUCAUCGAUGGCAAAGGCAGGGGCGUGAUCGCCACCAAGCAGUUCUCCCGGGGCGAUUUUGUGGUGGAAUACCACGGGGACCUCAUCGAGAUCACCGACGCCAAGAAGCGGGAGGCUCUGUAUGCGCAAGACCCCUCCACCGGCUGCUACAUGUACUAUUUCCAGUAUUUGAGCAAAACCUACUGCGUGGAUGCAACGAGGGAGACAAAUCGCCUGGGAAGACUGAUCAAUCACAGUAAAUGUGGGAACUGCCAAACCAAACUGCACGACAUCGACGGCGUGCCUCACCUCAUCCUCAUCGCCUCCCGCGACAUCGAGGCGGGGGAGGAGCUCCUGUACGACUACGGGGACCGCAGCAGGGCCUCCAUCGAGGCCUACCCCUGGCUGAAGCAUUAACCGCCCGCCUCCCCCCUCCAGUGGACAAAGUGCCCUCAAAGGGAAUUGAUUUUUUUUUUUUUACACACACUUAAUAUUAGCAGAUUACUUCAGAUGUUUUUAAAAAGUAUAUUAAGAUGCCUUUUCACUGUAGUAUUUAAAUAUCUGUUACAGGUUUCCACAGUGGACUUGAACAGAUGGCCUUAUAUUACCAAAACUUUUAUAUUCUAGUUGUUUUUGUACCUUUUUUGCAUACAAGCCGAACGUUUGUGCUUCCCGCGCUCGCUCGCGUGCAUGCAGUCAGGCUCGGCGCAGGUUUCCGAGGAGAGUCUUCGAACACGAACCAGGAAGCGGGGGGCCGCGGAGCCCGGACUCUUCCCCGCACCCCGACGUCCGAGCGCGCACCCCGAUGUCCGAGCAGCACGGGGCGGCCAAGACGACGCCUGCCGCCUCCCGACGGCCCCCACGGGAUGUUCCCAAGCUCUUGUUUUCCUGCCGUCUGGACAGGCGCACCCGGAAGUGUAUGAAUCUUUUUUAAAGGGUUUCGCACCACCCUCACCCCCACCCUGACCCGAUUCUGCUGGGUUGAAAGGUCCAGACCUGCUGUCAUGCUGUUUGUCAGACCACCUGGUGUUCUUCCUGCGACACGCAGACCGCGCAGCCGAGAACCAAGGGUGAGCCCGAGAGCCCUGGAGUGCAGGCCCCACCCCAAGGGGAGGGGGCAGGUGCAGCACCCAGGGAUCAAGGCGAAGGGUACAGUUUUCACCUCGACUGUGAUGAUUGUGACGGCAGGAGGUGUAGGUAGCUGCCCCCUCCCGCCCGAAGGGGGACUGAUUCUCACUCUCUCCACCUGCGGUCCAGGGGGCCUGGCUCUGGAACCACCACCUGGGGUCUCCGGACCCCCUGGUCCCAGGUAAAUGUGAAUGGAGACAGGUGUGAGGGCCUGUCCUCAACCUUGGUGCCCCCCAGCCCCCACCCCGCGCACCCCAGCCUCACGACGGUGCUACCUAGGAAAGUCUUCCCCCCCGCCCCACACUUGCCUGGUCAGUGGUCAGCCAAUUGGAGGAGGAUCCGACGGAGCGUGUCAAUGUGAAGUAAAAUGUCUCGGUUGUACCUGUUUGUGGUUUAGCUUUGUAUUUAAAAAACAAAA